GAUGAACGCUGGCGGCGUGCCUAAUACAUGCAAGUCGAGCGAACAGACGCUGAGCUUGCUCCUCUGACGUUAGCGGCGGACGGGUGAGUAACACGUGGAUAACCUCCCUAUCAUACUGGGAUAACUUCGGGAAACCGGAUCUAAUACCGGAUAAUAUAUUGAACCGCAUGGUGCAAUAGUGAAAGACGGUUUUGCUGUCACGUAUAGAUGGAUCCGCGCCGCAUUAGCUAGUUGGUAAGGUAACGGCUUACCAAGGCGACGAUGCGUAGCCGACCUGAGGGGGUGAUCGGCCACACUGGAACUGAGACACGGUCCAGAGUCCUACGGGAGGGAGCAGUAGGGAAUCUUCCGCAAUGGGCGAAAGCCUUACGGAGCAACGCGGCGUGAGUGAUGAAGGUCUUCGGAUCGUAAAACUCGGUUAUUAGGGAAGAACAAAUGUGUAAGGAACUAUGCACGUACUGACGGUACCGAAUCAGAAAGCCACGGCUAACUACGUG
rnacentral:rRNA from 1 species